rnacentral:rRNA from 1 species
UUCGGAAUUACUGGGCGUAAAGCGCGCGUAGGCGGAUUAGUCAGUUAGAGGUGAAAUCCCAGGGGCUCAACCCUGGAACUGCCUUUAAUACUGCUAGUCUUGAGUUCGAGAGAGGUGAGUGGAAUUCCGAGUGUAGAGGUGAAAUUCCGUAGAUAUUCGGAGGAACACCAGUGGCGAAGGCGGCUCACUGGCUCGAUACUGACGCUGGUACGGUGCGAAAGUGUGGGGAGCCAAACAGGAUUAGAUACCCUGGUAG